rnacentral:tRNA from 3 species
GCGAGCAUAAUAUAGUGGUAAUAUAUUUGCUUCCCAAGCAAAAAACGCGGGUCCGAUUCCCGCUGCUCGCACAA